UCAGCAGGGAAGAAGCGCAAGUGACGGUACCUGCAGAAGAAGCACCGGCUAACUACGUGCCAGCAGCCGCGGUAAUACGUAGGGUGCGAGCGUUGUCCGGAAUUAUUGGGCGUAAAGAGCUUGUAGGCGGUUUGUCGCGUCUGCUGUGAAAAUCCGGGGCUCAACCCCGGACUUGCAGUGGGUACGGGCAGACUAGAGUGUGGUAGGGGAGACUGGAAUUCCUGGUGUAGCGGUGGAAUGCGCAGAUAUCGGGAGGAACACCAGUAGCGAAGGCGGCUCGCUGGGCCAUUCCUGACGCUGAGACGCGAAAGCGUGGGGAGCGAACAGGAUUAGAUACCCUGGUAGUCCACGCCGUAAACGAUGAACACUAGGUGUUGGGGGAGUCGAAUCCCUCGGUGCCGCAGCCAACGCGUUAAGUGUUCCGCCUGGGGAGUACGGCCGUAAGGCUAAAACUCAAAAGAAUUGACGGGGGCCCGCACAAGCAGCGGAGCAUGUUCUUUAAUUCGAUGCAACGCGAAGAACCUUACCUGGGCUUGACAUGGUGCUGCAAGCGCACGGAAACGUGUGACCUUCGAGGGUGCACCACAGAUGCUGCAUGGCUGUCGUCAGCUCGUGUCGUG
rnacentral:rRNA from 1 species